AAUUCUCAACCGUGCGUUCUUGAUUUAUUUCGAGAGGACAUGGCUUGGAGUUUGGGGGAUUUGCUGGCAGCUUCGUCGGCUCUCCUGAAAUGCAUUAGCAAAGGGUCAGCUAGCGUUCGGACGGUGCACGGCCUUUGACGUGAUAACGAUCGUCACGGCCGGAACUGUCCUACGAAGCAUCGAUGGCCCAUGCUUACAAUGUUUGGAACUGUCCUCGUUCAUCUCUGAGGACGACCCUUUUUAGUUACUAGUUGAUUGUGAGGCUCGCUCGCCGACGAACACGAAAAGGGGGCAAAGUUCACAGAGUGUGUGCGUUCGACGCUCACGUUCCUCUUUGGAA
rnacentral:misc_RNA from 1 species